rnacentral:rRNA from 1 species
GAUGAACGCUGACAGAAUGCUUAACACAUGCAAGUCAACUUGAACUUCGGUUUGGGUGGCGGACGGGUGAGUAACGCGUAAAGAACUUGCCUCACAGCUAGGGACAACAUUUGGAAACGAAUGCUAAUACCUGAUAUUAUGAUUAUAUGGCAUCGUAUAAUUAUGAAAGCUAUAUGCGCUGUGAGAGAGCUUUGCGUCCCAUUAGCUAGUUGGAGAGGUAACAGCUCACCAAGGCGAUGAUGGGUAGCCGGCCUGAGAGGGUGAUCGGCCACAAGGGGACUGAGACACGGCCCUUACUCCUACGGGAGGCAGCAGUGGGGAAUAUUGGACAAUGGACCGAGAGUCUGAUCCAGCAAUUCUGUGUGCACGAUGAAGUUUUUCGGAAUGUAAAGUGCUUUCAGUUGGGAAGAAAAAAAUGACGGUACCAACAGAAGAAGUGACGACUAAAUACGUG